UCCAAAGAACAAUCUUUUCCCCUGGGCUGAGGAGUAACCUUAGGUCUUAAGGGGAAGAAGUGGCAGUUAAGGUACUGGAAGAAUCCAGAGGCAGGAAAGUCUAUCUAUCCUGCCUCUCAAUAAUAGCUGAGACCAAGAAGGGAAGCAGUGAAUCCUUUCAUUGAAGCUCUUGGCUCCAAGUUAACUACCACUUUAUAGACCCACUCUCUGAAGAGACAUAUUCAGACCCUCAAGGAGACAAAACUGGAUUACUGUUCCCAAGAAGAAGAAAGGGGAAGGUCAACCUCUUCUCCUCCACAUUCCUUCAACUCUUUCUCUCCCUCUCUCCAGUUCCCCAGUAUAGGUGGGUAUGACCCUCCUUUUGGGCUAUAUAUUACAAAUCUUUGGCUUGGAGCUUCUGUUGCUGACUUGCUUCUUGGAGGUGGCUUUGGACUUGAACCUCUGCUUCGACUUGGGACCUUGGCUCUUAGACUGUGUCAUGGAGAACUGCUCCUGGAUCUUCUCCUUUGGACUAUGUCUUGGGUACCCAGCAGUGGUCAUGGCUUCAAUCUAGAGUCUGGCCCAUCCUGAUGAGAUUUCUCAGAACCCAGAACAGUGAAAGGAGUCCAAAAGAGAGAGUUAUGGAGGAGCCAAAGGGGUGGGUUUUAAAGCUAUCCAACUGGCUUUGGAGGAGAGCUAAAAACCAUUUGAAAGGACAAGUUCAACGUACAGACUGAAGGGAUGCUUCCUGAUCUCUCCAGCUGAAAGUGCUCUUUCCCUCCUCAAAUUUUCCAAGAAUUCUUUGUCUGGGUAAUAAUAAUAACCAAUAUGUGUAGAGCACUUUACACAAUAACUUCAGCUGAUGUCAUGGCAAACUUCUGAAGUGUGUUCUGGUUUUAGUCCCAUUUCAGAGAUGAGCACAACCGAGACUCAGAAAUGAAAAAAUGACUUGUCCAAGGCCCUACGGGUGUUCCGUGACAGAGUUAGAAUUUAGACCAUGUCCCAUUUUAGCCCAACAUCCAGGGACCUAAAUCUUAAACCUGGAUUUACAUGCUGGUUCUGACUUUUGGUGCCUCGGUGAUCUUCAUGUCUCACUCCAGUUUUUCCCCCUGUAAAAUGUGAAGUUUGGACUUGGCUAAUAAAGGCUCCUCCCAACUCUGA